rnacentral:rRNA from 1 species
GACGAACGCUGGCGGCGUGCUUAACACAUGCAAGUCGAACGGAAAGGCCCUGCUUGCAGGGUACUCGAGUGGCGAACGGGUGAGUAACACGUGGGUGAUCUGCCCUGCACUUCGGGAUAAGCCUGGGAAACUGGGUCUAAUACCGGAUAGGAGCCAUUUUUAGUGUGAUGGUUGGAAAGUUUUUUCGGUGUAGGAUGAGCUCGCGGCCUAUCAGCUUGUUGGUGGGGUAAUGGCCUACCAAGGCGGCGACGGGUAGCCGGCCUGAGAGGGUGGACGGCCACAUUGGGGCUGAGGUACGGCCCAGACUCCUACGGGAGGCAGCAGUGGGGAAUAUUGCACAAUGGGCGCAAGCCUGAUGCAGCGACGCCGCGUGGGGGAUGACGGCCUUCGGGUUGUAAACUCCUUUCGCUAGGGACGAAGCUUUUUGUGACGGUACCUAGAUAAGAAGCACCGGCUAACUACGUG